rnacentral:tRNA from 1 species
GCGGAGGUCUAAAGGCCAGGUUAGGGGAACGUGACAUGCCAAAGCGGCGCGGUCCUGAAAACCGUCGUGGCAGCGAUGUCACCGUGGGUUCAAAUCCCACACCCACCGCA